CGGAAGGUCCAGGCGUUAUCCGGAUUUUAUUGGGUUUAAAGGGAGCGUAGGCCGCCUGGUAAGCGUGUUGUGAAAAAUACCGGCUCAACCGGUAUCCUGCAGCGCGAACUGUCGGGCUUGAGUGUGCGCAACGUUGGCGGAAUUCGUCGUGUAGCGGUGAAAUGCUUAGAUAUGACGAAGAACUCCGAUUGCGAAGGCAGCUGACGGGAGCACAACUGACGCUGAAGCUCGAAAGUGCGGGUAUCGAACAGGAUU
rnacentral:rRNA from 1 species